rnacentral:rRNA from 1 species
GGAAUUUUGGACAAUGGGCGAAAGCCUGAUCCAGCAAUGCCGCGUGAGUGAAGAAGGCCUUCGGGUUGUAAAGCUCUUUUGUCAGGGAAGAAACGGUGAGGGCUAAUAUCCUUCGCUAAUGACGGUACCUGAAGAAUAAGCACCGGCUAACUACGUGCCAGCAGCCGCGGUAAUACGUAGGGUGCAAGCGUUAAUCGGAAUUACUGGGCGUAAAGCGUGCGCAGGCGGUUUUGUAAGUCUGAUGUGAAAUCCCCGGGCUCAACCUGGGAAUUGCAUUGGAGACUGCAAGGCUAGAAUCUGGCAGAGGGGGGUAGAAUUCCACGUGUAGCAGUGAAAUGCGUAGAUAUGUGGAGGAACACCGAUGGCGAAGGCAGCCCCCUGGGUCAAGAUUGACGCUCAUGCACGAAAGCGUGGGGAGCAAACAGGAUUAGAUACCCUGG